rnacentral:rRNA from 1 species
AGCGAACGCUGGCGGCAGGCCUAACACAUGCAAGUCGAACGGACCCUACGGGGUUAGUGGCGGACGGGUGAGCAACACGUGGGAACGUGCCUUUAGGUUCGGAAUAGCUCCUGGAAACGGGUGGUAAUGCCGAAUGUGUCCUUCGGGGGAAAGAUUUAUCGCCUUUAGAGCGGCCCGCGUCUGAUUAGCUAGUUGGUGAGGUAAAGGCUCACCAAGGCGACGAUCAGUAGCUGGUCUGAGAGGAUGACCAGCCACAUUGGGACUGAGACACGGCCCAAACUCCUACGGGAGGCAGCAGUGGGGAAUCUUGCGCAAUGGGCGAAAGCCUGACGCAGCCAUGCCGCGUGAAUGAUGAAGGUCUUAGGAUUGUAAAAUUCUUUCACCGGGGACGAUAAUGACGGUACCCGGAGAAGAAGCCCCGGCUAACUUCGUGCCAGCCGCCGCAGUAACAC